rnacentral:rRNA from 1 species
GACGAACGCUGGCGGCGUGCCUAAUACAUGCAAGUAGAACGCUGAAGGAGGAGCUUGCUUCUCUGGAUGAGUUGCGAACGGGUGAGUAACGCGUAGGUAACCUGCCUGGUAGCGGGGGAUAACUAUUGGAAACGAUAGCUAAUACCGCAUAAGAGUAGAUGUUGCAUGACAUUUGCUUAAAAGGUGCAAUUGCAUCACUACCAGAUGGACCUGCGUUGUAUUAGCUAGUUGGUGGGGUAACGGCUUACCAAGGCGACGAUACAUAGCCGACCUGAGAGGGUGAUCGGCCACACUGGGACUGAGACACGGCCCAGACUCCUACGGGAGGCAGCAGUAGGGAAGCUUCGGCAAUGGACGGAAGUCUGACCGAGCAACGCCGCGUGAGUGAAGAAGGUUUUCGGAUCGUAAAGCUCUGUUGUAAGAGAAGAACGAGUGUGAGAGUGGAAAGUUCACACUGUGACGGUAGCUUACCAGAAAGGGACGGCUAACUACGUG